rnacentral:tRNA from 1 species
AUUUAAGUAGCUUAUUAGAGCAUAACAUUGAAGCUGUUAAGGAGGUAGUAUUAUCCUUAAGUA